rnacentral:miRNA from 1 species
UGCAGUGCUGGGUUCCAGGACACCAAUCCAGAAUGGUCUUGCCCACAAGGAGCUCACAGUCCAGUGGGGAGGAAGUCCA